UGAAAUUAACAUCAAACAUAGUCAUCAUAACUUUGUUUUCUUUUCUUUUUUCACAGAGUUUUUAUGUUUUAAACAACUUACAAAUCAUAACUUUGUUUCCCAGUAAACUUAACUUCAAUGGGACUAACAUUUUUCCCAAUAGAUCUCAUGUUGAGACCAACACCUUCUCUUCCCGGAUUCGCCUUCUCGGGAUAAACACCAUCUUUAGGAUGAAGAUACUGAACCUCACCAUUGGGGAAAACUCUGUAAAACUGGUAAGUGAUCUUGUACUUGGAUCUAAGCCUUGUCCCAAGAGCCAAACACUGUUCUU
rnacentral:lncRNA from 1 species